rnacentral:rRNA from 1 species
AGCGUAGGCGGCGUGGUAAGUCAGAUGUGAAAUCCCGGGGCUCAACCCCGGAACUGCAUCCGAUACUGCCGUGCUAGAGGAUUGGAGAGGUAGCUGGAAUUCACGGUGUAGCAGUGAAAUGCGUAGAUAUCGUGAGGAACACUCGUGGCGAAAGCGAGCUACUGGACAACUCCUGACGCUGAGGCUCGAAGGCCAGGGUAGCGAAA